rnacentral:tRNA from 2 species
GCUCGCGUAGCUCAGUCGGUAGAGCACACCCUUGGUAAGGGUGAGGUCAUCGGUUCAAUCCCGAUCGCGAGCU